rnacentral:rRNA from 1 species
AACGAACGCUGGCGGCAGGCUUAACACAUGCAAGUCGAACGGUAAGGCCCUUCGGGGUACACGAGUGGCGAACGGGUGAGUAACACGUGGGUGAUCUACCCUGCACUUCGGGAUAAGCCUGGGAAACUGGGUCUAAUACCGGAUACGACCACUCCACGCAUGUGGUGGUGGUGGAAACUUUUUUGGGUGGGGGAUGUGCUCGCGGCCUAUCAGCUUGUUGGUGGGGUAAUGGCCUACCAAGGCUUUGACGGGUAGCCGGCCUGAGAGGGUGACCGGCCACACUGGGACUGAGACACGGCCCAGACUCCUACGGGAGGCAGCAGUGGGGAAUAUUGGACAAUGGGCGGAAGCCUGAUCCAGCAACGCCGCGUGAGGGAUGACGGCCUUCGGGUUGUAAACCUCUUUCAGCACCGACGAAGCGCAAGUGACGGUAGGUGCAGAAGAAGGACCGGCCAACUACGUGCCAGCCGCCGCCGUAA